rnacentral:rRNA from 1 species
AUUGAACGCUGGCGGCAGGCCUAACACAUGCAAGUCGAGCGGAUGAAGGGAGCUUGCUCCUGGAUUCAGCGGCGGACGGGUGAGUAAUGCCUAGGAAUCUGCCUGGUAGUGGGGGAUAACGUCCGGAAACGGGCGCUAAUACCGCAUACGUCCUGAGGGAGAAAGUGGGGGAUCUUCGGACCUCACGCUAUCAGAUGAGCCUAGGUCGGAUUAGCUAGUUGGUGGGGUAAAGGCCUACCAAGGCGACGAUCCGUAACUGGUCUGAGAGGAUGAUCAGUCACACUGGAACUGAGACACGGUCCAGACUCCGACGGGAGGCAGCAGUGGGGAAUAUUGGACAAUGGCGAAAGCCUGAUCCAGCCAUGCCGCGUGUGUGAAGAAGGUCUUCGGAUUGUAAAGCACUUUAAGUUGGGAGGAAGGGCAGUAAGUUAAUACCUUGCUGUUUUGACGUUACCAACAGAAUAAGCACCGGCUAACUUCGUG